GAUGAACGCUGGCGGCGUGCCUAAUACAUGCAAGUCGAGCGAACAGACGAGGAGCUUGCUCCUCUGACGUUAGCGGCGGACGGGUGAGUAACACGUGGAUAACCUACCUAUAAGACUGGGAUAACUUCGGGAAACCGGAGCUAAUACCGGAUAAUAUAUUGAACCGCAUGGUUCAAUAGUGAAAGACGGUUUUGCUGUCACUUAUAGAUGGAUCCGCGCCGCAUUAGCUAGUUGGUAAGGUAACGGCUUACCAAGGCAACGAUGCGUAGCCGACCUGAGAGGGGGGCGCGCCCACAGGGGAUGGGAGACCGGUCCCAGCCCCACAGGGGAGGCGCAGGUGGGAAUUCUCCAGAAAGGGGGGAAGCCCUGAGGGAACAGCGCCGGGGGAAUAAUAAGGGUUUGGGAAUCAAAACACUUUUUUAUGGGGAAAAAAAAAAUGUGAAAGUAACUAUGCACGUCUGGACGGUACCAAUAAAAAAAGCCACGGCAAACUACGU
rnacentral:rRNA from 1 species